CUUUUGAUUAUAAUUUAAGGUCUGACCUGCCCAAUGAGAAUAUUAAAUGGCCGCGGUAUAUUGACCGUGCAAVGGUAGCAUAAUCAUUAGUUUUUUAAUUGGAAGCUUGUAUGAAAGGUUGAAUGAAAVMAUAACUGUCUCUAUUUUAAUUUAUUNGAAUUUUAUUUUUAAGUAAAAAAGCUUAAAUAUUUAUAAAAGACGAGAAGACCCUAUAGAGUUUUAUAUAAAUUUGAAUUAAAUUUUUUAGAAUUUAAAUUUUUAUUAUUAAAUUAUAUUUAAUUGGGGUGAUUUAAAAAUUAAAAGAACUUUUUUUUAAUAUAUUCAUAGAUAAAUGUUUAAUUGAUCCUUUNNUUUAAGAUUAAAAGAAAAAAUUACCUUAGGGAUAACAGCGUAAUUUUUUUUAAGAGUUCAAAUCGAANAAAAVGAUUGCGACCUCGAUGUUGGAUUAAAAUUYCUUUUUGGUGUAGAAGCUAAA
rnacentral:rRNA from 1 species